rnacentral:rRNA from 1 species
AUUGAACGCUGGCGGCAUGCCUUACACAUGCAAGUCGAACGGCAGCACGGGAGCAAUCCUGGUGGCGAGUGGCGAACGGGUGAGUAAAGCAUCGGAACGUGCCCAGUCGUGGGGGAUAACGUAGCGAAAGUUACGCUAAUACCGCAUACGAUCUAUGGAUGAAAGCGGGGGAUCGCAAGACCUCGCGCGAUUGGAGCGGCCGAUAUCAGAUUAGGUAGUUGGUGGGGUAAAGGCACACCAAGCCGACGAUCUGUAGCUGGUCUGAGAGGACGCACAGCAACACUGGGGCUGAGACACGGCCCAGACUCCUACGGGAGGCAGCAGUGGGGAAUUUUGGAAAAUGGGCGAAAGCCUGAUCCAGCCAUGCCGCGUGCAGGAUGAAGGCCUUCGGGUUGUAAACUGCUUUUGUACGGAACGAAAAGGUUUGGGCUAAUAAGCUGAGCUCAUGACGGUACCGUAAGAAUAAGCACCGGCUAACUACGUGCCAGCCGCCGCCGUAA